rnacentral:rRNA from 1 species
UUAAUUGAAGAGUUUGAUCAUGGCUCAGAUUGAACGCUGGCGGCAGGCCUAACACAUGCAAGUCGAGCGGCAGCGACAGUAACAAUCCUUCGGGUGCGUUAUUGGGCGGCGAGCGGCGGACGGGUGAGUAAUGC